rnacentral:rRNA from 1 species
UACGGGGGGAGCAAGCGUUGUUCGGAUUUACUGGGCGUAAAGGGCGCGUAGGCGGCCAGCACAAGUCAGUUGUGAAAUCUCCGGGCUUAACUCGGAAAGGUCAACUGAUACUGUGCGGCUAGAGUGCAGAAGGGGCAACUGGAAUUCUCGGUGUAGCGGUGAAAUGCGUAGAUAUCAAGAGGAACACCUGCGGCGAAGGCGGGUUGCUGGGCCGACACUGACGCUGAUGCGCGAAAGCUAGGGGAGCGAACGGG